rnacentral:rRNA from 1 species
GACAGAGGGUGCAAACGUUGUUCGGAAUUACUGGGCGUAAAGCGCGUGUAGGCGGCUCGGCAAGUCGGGUGUGAAAGCCCUGGGCUCAACCCAGGAAGUGCAUUCGAAACUGCCGAGCUGGAGUCCCGGAGAGGAAGGCGGAAUUCUCGGUGUAGAGGUGAAAUUCGUAGAUAUCGAGAGGAACACCGGUGGCGAAGGCGGCCUUCUGGACGGCGACUGACGCUGAGACGCGAAAGCGUGGGGAGCAAACAGGAUUAGAUACCCUGGUAGUCCACGCCGUAAACGAUGGGUGCUAGGUGUCGCGGGCAUUGACCCCUGCGGUGCCGAAGCCAACGCAUUAAGCACCCCGCCUGGGGAGUACGGCCGCAAGGCUAAA